rnacentral:rRNA from 2 species
CGUUGGCGGCGUGCCUAAAUAACAUGCAAGUCGAACGAGGUCUCCUAACUGAUAGCUGGUGCUUGCAUCAGCUUGACGAUAGAUCUGACCGAGUGGCGAACUGGUGAGUAACACGUGGGUAACCUGCCCAGAAGAAGGGGAUAACACCUGGAAACAGAUGCUAAUACCGUAUAACAACGAGAACCACAUGGUUCUCGUUUGAAAGAUGGCUUUUAUGCUAUCGCUUCUGGAUGGACCCGCGGCGUAUUAGCUAGUUGGUGAGAUAAUAGCUCACCAAGGCAAUGAUACGUAGCAGACCUGAGAGGGUAAUCUGCCACAAUGGGACUGAGACACGGCCCAUACUCCUACGGGAGGCAGCAGUAGGGAAUCUUCCACAAUGGACGAAAGUCUGAUGGAGCAACGCCGCGUGAGUGAAGAAGGGUUUCGGCUCGUAAAACUCUGUUGUUAGAGAAGAACGACCGUGAGAGCAACUGCUCACGGUGUGACGGUAUCUAACCAGAAAGUCACGGCUAACUACGUGCCAGCAGCCGCGGUAAUACGUAGGUGGCAAACGUUGUCCGGAUUUAUUGGGCGUAAAGCGAGCGCAGGCGGUUUUCUAAGUCUGAUGUUGAAACUUCGGCUUAACCGGAGAAGUGCAUCGGAAACUGGAUAACUUGAGUGCAGAAAAGGACAGUGGAACUUCAUGUGUAGCGGUGAAAUGCGUAGAUAUAUGAAGGAACACCAGUGGCGAAGGCGGCUGUCUGGUCUGCAUCUGACGCUGAGGCUCGAAAGCAUGGGUAGCAAACAGGAUUAGAUACCCUGGUAGUCCAUGCCGUAAACGAUGAAUGCUAGGUGUUGGGAGGUUUCCGCCUCUCAGUGCCGCAGCUAACGCAUUAAGCAUUCCGCCUGGGGAGUACGACCGCAAGGUUGAAACUCAAAGGAAUUGACGGGGACCCGCACAAGCGGUGGAGCAUGUGGUUUAAUUCGAUGCU